GCACCUUGUUCGUGAGCGGCUUGCCGAUGGACGCCAAGCCGAGGGAGCUUUAUCUGCUCUUCAGAGCAUACGAGGGGUACGAGGGGUCCCUGCUGAAAGUCACGAGUAAAAAUGGGAAAACAGCGUCGCCGGUGGGAUUCGUGACAUUUCACACGAGGGCUGGCGCGGAAGCGGCGAAACAGGACCUUCAGCAGGGGGUUAGAUUCGAUCCUGAUAUGCCACAAACCAUACGUUUGGAAUUUGCAAAAAGUAACACAAAGGUUAGCAAACCCAAGCAACCAGCCGCUGCAGCAGCCACCUCGCACCCUGCUCUGAUGCACCCUCUAACUGGACAUCUAGGGAGCCCAUUCUUCCCUGGUGGUCCUGAAUUGUGGCACCAUCCACUGGCGUACUCAACAGCUGGAGAAUUACCGGGCACACUGCAACAUGCGACGCUGGUCCAUCCGGCGUUACAUCCUCAGGUCCCCGCGCCUAUGUCUUUGCCGCAUCCUACGACGCUGACGUCGAUACACGCGUCGCUGCCCCAUUUCUUACCCUCGCCGGCACUGGCAUCGCCGGUGGGUUCGCCCUCGUCACAGCCGAACAUAGCCGUCAGCAAUGCACCGUGUUCUACCCUCUUUGUGGCGAACCUCGGCCAGUUCGUUUCUGAGCACGAACUCAAGGACAUCUUCAGCAGUUUUCCUGGUUUCUCCCGGCUUCGUAUGCACACGGGGGGAGGGUCGCCAGUGGCCUUUGUCGAAUAUCAAGACGUUCGCUUCGCGGCCCAGGCGAUGGCCACUCUCCAAGGAUCCUUACUCCUCUCCUCCGACCGGGGAGCAAUACGAAUCGAAUAUGCAAAGUCAAAAAUGGCCGAGGUGGGCUUUACAAAUCUCUGGAUCGAAAAGGAACCUUUCGUGAGUGACUGUUGAUAUUGCUUUUGAAAUACAAAGUGAAAAAUCUAUCUGGCCGGAAACUUUUGCAUGCCACUGGAUCAAAGAGAGAAGAAAACGGGCAACCUUAAGAUCGACAUCAACGGCAUGUAAGGGAAGCAAAGGACCGUGUUCAAGCGUGCUUACACCCCUCGGGAUAAUCGAAACGCAAACGGCAAACAAGUCAACCGAAAUUUGGAUCGUUCAUCUGCGCCAUGGUAACGAAAAUCCCUAGAAAUAUCAGGAGGACCGCCGAAGUUGACGCGCAUUUGGCAUCAUCGGUCGCUCCGACCUCGGAGAACCAACACGUACGAGAGGCUGUAGGAGGGGUGGGGGCGCAUGAACGCGGCGAAACGUGAACAAAGACGGAGAAAGGGCGGGAGAAGGGCGGGAAAAAUGGCAAAAAAAAAAUUACGACGAAUUAUAAGGAGGGGCGGCGAGGGGGAGCCCUUGCGCCCCGGCAAGCACCAGUAGGCAAAUUCUGUAAAUUCUGCGGCGCAUACGGCGUUACAUUCGCGACUCGCGGGGGCCCAAAUAAUCGCGUAUAAUAAUAUUCCUAGGUAUAUAUAUUUUUUAACGACUUAACUUAUCGAUUCGUAGCCGUGUAUUACCUUCUCUAUUUAUUUUCCACCGAGUCUUUGAUUGAGAUCGACGACGACGACGAAGAACGUUGGCUGAAGAAAGGAGAACGCGGCCAGUAGAACGGGUGUGGAGGGGGAUUAGAGCACGCGGGGGGUGGGCCCGAGUUCCUCGAAUCGAGAACAAAACCGGCCCAUCGUUAUUUCGUUUUCUAUGACCGCGUAUUCUAAAAACACAUCCGAACGAAGGAAAGGAAGGCACUCUUCAAGUCACACGCUCACGUAACACUUGUUCACACACACGUAAGUCCACACUUCACAGACGCGAGAUUCUUCUUUUUUUUAAGAGCGAGCCCCGCGCCGUCCUGCCACGGAUUAUCAAUCAAUCAAUCGAAAUAGUAACGGAGUCAAUUGUUGCGAACGAUCAGAACACCUUCGGUCGAGUAUAAAUCUCGGCGGAAGGUCGUCUUUUGUUUAACCCCUUGCACUGUAACGAGUCGGACUCGUUAUGAUUGUGUCAUACGUGAUCUACGAAAAUACGAACGUUUAUUCAAUUCUUCGAAAUCGAAACGAGAUUCUCCUGUUAUCAAAAUCUAAUCAUGGAUGAAAAGAAAAAGCAAAAAUUGUGUCGUUCUAUCAAGGAAAUUAUUGAAUCGUAGUGCAAGGGGUUGAAGGAACGUCUUGGAGAAGGAAAUCGAUUCGUUGAGCGUGACCGUGCACCUUGGAAGCAGGAAGAUUGUUGGAAUGUUGAAACUCGAAAAUCGAAAUCGUUUCUCGCAAAAUACAGUCGCUUUAACCUUUGGAAGCUGGAAUCACGUCGGCAUUGCAUUAGAAGCGAAAUUUUUAUUCCGUGCGCGUGGAAAGUGUUCUAACGCAAGUUUAAUUGAAAUGUGUAGGUUGCCGACGGUACAUCUAACAAGGAAUCUAACAUUUGUUAGAUCUCAUAUGUGAAAUUAGAAUACUUUUGAAAGUGUAGAAACGCGAAAUUGAAUAUAACAUUGAAUCUCCCAUUACGGACUAGGAAAUGAAAACAUUUCCUGAAAGAAAGAUUUUUAACACUAAAUUUACGGGGCACAAAAAACAGCUGUUUCAUAUUGGUUUAUAAAA